rnacentral:rRNA from 1 species
UCAAGAAACUUCCACAAUGGGCGAAAGCCUGAUGGAGCGACGUCGCGUGAUGGACGAAGUGCUUCGGCACGUAAACAUCUUUUUAUGUGGGAUGAAAUUAUUGACAGUACCACAUGAAUAAGGGGCUCCUAACUCUGUGCCAGCAGGAGCGGUAAUACAGAGGCCCCAAGCGUUAUCCGGAAUCACUGGGCGUAAAGGGUGUCGAGGCGGUUGUAUUAGUCGUUCGUAAAAUCUACGAGCUUAACUUGUAGGCGGCGAACGAAACGGUACGACUUGAGGUUUGGAGAGGUGCGUGGAACUCACGGUGUAGGGGUGAAAUCCGUUGAUAUCGUGGGGAACACCAAAGGCGAAGGCAGCGCACUGGCCAAAAUCUGACGCUCACACACGAAAGCUAGGGUAGCGAAGAGGAUUAGAUACCCCGGUAGUCCCUGAGCGGGCUGGCAAGGCGCAU